UCUGUAUUCUGCCUCAACCUAAUUGAUAGUUUGCCUAGCCAUAGGCUUCUGGGUUGAGACUCAUUUCUCUUUGAAUUUUGGCAGCUACUCUGACGUUCUUUCCUUUGAUAGUGAUAUGUGUGUGUGUGUGUGUGUGCGUUUUAACUUGCUUUCCAGAAGCUUUUAGGGUUUAUUAUGCAUUCUCAGUAAUAUACCUAGGAUUUUUCUUUCUUUCCUCCCUUCCUUUCUUUCCUUCUCUCUCUCCCUUUCUUCCUUCACUCCUGCUCUGCAAUCAAAGGGCUUUUUCAACUUGAAGACAGUUUGUUUUUUCAUUUAGCUUUUCUAUUAUUUUGCUAUUCUUUCUUUCUGAAAUGCUCUUUAGCCACUUUGGACUUUCUGAAACUCCUUCCCUUUUCCCUCCCCUCCCCUCCCCUUCCCUUCUUCUUUCUCUUAAACUGAAUGCAAGUCCAUCCCUCCCUCCCUCCCUUCCUUCUUUCUCUCAUGCAAGUUUACUAGGAAAGUAAAGGAAUAAAAGAAUGGC
rnacentral:lncRNA from 1 species